UGGGGAUCGAAGGCAGGCCGCUUUUCCGCUUUCGCUGGGUCAUAAACAACAAAGGACCACACCUUUUACUGCUGGACAAAGAGAGAGAGGGAGAAUCAGAAAAGUGCUGUGCAUCGAUACUCUCGAAAUCUUCUAGACCGCGAUUUGUUGGUGCAGUUCGAAGAUCAUGAUGGGUCCAUCAGCUGUAUUGGGAGGUCGCCUGCUUGUGGCUGCUUUCAUUUUGGCGCUAACUCUGAUGACGUCACCCCCAGCGAGUGGAAAAC